UGUGUAGUGGGAAAAGAAUGGUUUAUUCCAUUUAUUUUCUUGAUUCAAUUAAAUUAAAAUUAGAAGACCAUGGUUAUUUUAGGUAAGGAUGUGAUCAUCUUUUUAUUCCUUGCCAUUUAAAGAUAUAAACAAUUAUACAAAAAUUAAGAGAAAAUAUGGAGAGAAUAGGAAACUUACCUUUUCUUUUUAUUAAGCCAUUAUGAGAGAAUAAGGAUAAAGGGGAAAGGAAAGAGGGGAAGAGCCAUUUGCUCUUGUGGCUGCCGAAAUUAGACAGAGAGAGUGGCGUGUAGAGAGAGAGGGAGAAGAAGAAAGAAAGAAAGAAGAAGAAGGUGAAGAGGAACCCAUCUUAGAGCUUGAACAAGGGUGUGAAGUUUGGGUGUUGAUCUUAUUGUGUUCUUGAUUUUACAAUCAAGAGAGGUAGCAAAUAGGAUUUCUUUAUGGCACGCGUGGUGACGUGAGGAGUUCUAUCAUCAUGGGGUGUAUGGCGUGGGGAAAUCCUAUGGACGGAAAAACGAUCAACGUAGA